rnacentral:rRNA from 1 species
GACGAACGCUGGCGGCGUGCCUAAUACAUGCAAGUAGAACGCACAGUUUAUACCGUAGCUUGCUACACCAUAGACUGUGAGUUGCGGACGGGUGAGUAACGCGUAGGUAACCUGCCUGGUAGCGGGGGAUAACUAUUGGAAACGAUAGCUAAUACCGCAUAAUAUUGAUUAUUGCAUGAUAAUUGAUUGAAAGAUGCUAUUGCAUCACUACCAGAUGGACCUGCGUUGUAUUAGCUAGUAGGUGAGGUAACGGCUCACCUAGGCGACGAUACAUAGCCGACCUGAGAGGGUGAUCGGCCACACUGGGACUGAGACACGGCCCAGACUCCUACGGGAGGCAGCAGUAGGGAAUCUUCGGCAAUGGACGAAAGUCUGACCGAGCAACGCCGCGUGAGUGAAGAAGGUUUUCGGAUCGUAAAGCUCUGUUGUAAGAGAAGAACGGGUGUGAGAGUGGAAAGUUCACACUGUGACGGUAUCUUACCAGAAAGGGACGGCGAACUACGU